GCGGACAACGAAAAAAGAAGGCUGAAGAAAUGUAAAAGACGACAAAAGCUGCGCAGUUUUCAGAGAACGACCCCCAUCCCCCUUGUUUCCAUCUUCUCCAAACGACCCCCCCCCCCCCCUCCCCUGCACUUCAUCUUCUCAAAAAGACCAAAUGAACGAGCCCUUCUACUAAAAACCUUACGGAAGUAGCCGCAACUCUAAAAAGGCCCCACACACCACCGGUCGUCCUCUCGACCAAACGUUGUUGCUUCUUCAACAGGGUCGUCCUCAUCAUCAAAACGAGCCCCUGUUCUUCGACACACAAGAAAUCGGAGAACGACCCCCUCGUUCCAUUUUCUUCUUCGUUCCAAAACCUGUAGCAACCAACAUCCACCAAAACUUCAUCACCGACCAACCAUGACACCCUUACCUCCAUUAAAGCUUCCCCACAGACCUCCUUCUUUUGAGCCAUUUUUCGAUGGUCCCUUCUUGAGCAAAAGCAACGACCCCAUGAGCUACUGCUCUUGAACAAAAAUCACAGAAGCAUCAUCCUCAAUAGACCUCGACCACCAUUAACACAAGCACACACUCACGUUUCUCGGACGGGAAUAUAAGAAAACGGAACACACAAGAUUUCUACCUUCCUUUCAAUUUCGAUUUUGGUGUUCCAAAAAUGAAGAUUCAGUUGAGGUUUGGAAUCCGAUUCUGAGGUUGUCACUGUUCGUUUGAGGUUUCGGCUGGGUUUUCGAUCGGGUUCGAGUUCGGCAUUUGAUGUUGCUGCAAACAAAUUGGAGUUUUCAUAUAUAAAUUGACUCAUAUAUAAAGGUUUGUUGUUCUUAAUUUUAAUCGUUUAUUCAACUUGUUACAGUAGAGUGUUUGGACUGUUUUGUUUUUUCUUUAUUUAUUGUCUCAUCGAUUUUAUGCUAUUGUUACAGUAGUUUCUUAAUAUUGGCUGUUAAUUUAGAAGCUAAUUUUUAUACGUUUCUUUCAAAAUGUGGACUUACUUAAAUUGGGCCUAAUUGUAUAUUUAUUUCAAUGAUUAGCUUAAUUUUACAACAUUAUGUCUUGAAUCUAUGACACUUCAUUUAUAUGCAUGACUCGAAAGGGAAUAGGCAUGUAUCCAUGUGCAUGGUUUGACAAGAUUCAGCUAAUUGAUCUAAUACCGAUGCUCGUAGUUGCUUUGGGUCUGUUUAAUAUACCAUUGCGAUUGUGGACACGUCCGCGUCACAUGAUUGCGAUUUCUAAAAACAAAGCCAGAGUAUGCGUUCGCGCAACUUCGGCCAAAUUUUCUUAACAACAAUAAAGCGUUAUUAAUUAUGGACACGUUCGCGUGACAUGAUUUUUGACGCGCCAAACCAAUGGGUACACGUACGCGUGACCCAUUUCAAGAUAAUUUUCCUAAUUAAAAAGCGGUAUAAGGUAAAUGCACAUAGGUUCUAAAAAUGAGUAAUUAAACAAUUUUAUUAAGCCAAGUAUGAUCAAAGCGAUCGUGCUAGAAUCACGAAACUCGGGAAUGCCUAAUACCUUCUCCCGGGUUAACAGAAUUCCUUACCCGGAUUUCUGUAUUCGCAGACCGUAAAUAGAGUCAAUUUCCUCAGUUCGGGAUUUUUAAAACUGGUGACUUUGGACACCAUAAAUUCUCCCAAGUGGCGACUCUAAAUUUUAAACAAACAAAUCUCGUUUCGACUGUCCUUUAAUUGGAAAACUCCCUUAUAUUUAUACCCUUUUACGGGGUGUAGUAAAAAAGGAGGUGUGACAGAUCUGACAACUCUGCUGGGAAAAAAACCCAGAAUCUCUGGUUCAGGGUUCAAGAAUUCGAGCUUGUUAAUGAUUUUUACUUGACUUCAUUUAUUGUUAAUAUUAUUGUAUUCUGUGAAUCUUUUAUGCUAAAUGCUAUCUGUUUACUGCUUUAUUAUUGUUUGAAUUGUAUAUAAAUGUUUUUUACUCCACCCAUCUGAGUCUUCUGGAAAUGGUGCAUACGUUCGCGUAGCUCACUUUUUCUGUAGAAAUUAUACCAAAUAGAACGAGGUUGGGCAAGCGACAAGCCCGGGUAGACUUCAGUGCUCCUGGUACGUCGCCCCCUCCUCGGCCCCAGUUGUCCGCUCGGGUACCCCAAGUCUAGACCAAAACCCCAGGAUUUAAACCUAGAAAAACACAGCCUCAUGCUGAAUCCCUAGUAGGAACGUUUGUUUGCAUCAUGUGCGUUUGACUUAGGGGACUCAACAUAGGGGCCGUCUAGGACAGGUGUACCCAAAAUAACAGACCAUCUUGAUGCAUCUUAUGUGCUACAUGUUGCAUUCCUUUAAGGGUAAAAGGGUCAUUUGAUGGACCAAUGAUAGUUAGGGACAAAUGAAAAAGAAAAAAGAAGGAAAAAAGCAAAAAAACAAAAAAAGAGGGUGAAGAGUGAAAAUAAAGCGAGUAGGGCCCAAUUAUAUUUUCUGUCACAUUUUUGUUGAGAAAAAAAGAGAGCUUGAAAAUUCAAAAAAAAAAAAAGAUUUUGCACUUUUUCAUCAUUUUUCGAAAAUCAGAAAAUUAAAAAAAAAGGAUAAAGAAAAGAAAAUCCCAAAAAGAGUUUGCAUGUUUCAUCAUUUUUCCAAAAAAAGAGAGAAAAAUAUAUAUUUUUUUCUUUUCUCUCUCUAAAUUAGUUUUUUUAAUUCUCGUCCGUAUCCAAUCUGUCCGAACUACGCAUACCUUAUUCUCGUCUUUCGGGGCGUGAUACGUAGGCAACCCACACAGGGUCCGGUCUUCAUAGUAAAUCUUAGGUUCUUGGCUUCGCGGGCUCUUAGCAAAAUCUUGUACUUUUAGCCACAUCGGUUAAUUUUAGAAAAAAUAAUCGCAAUCAUGUCUUGCAUGUGUCUGGUAGGGAAUGUUAUUGUCUCACUUAGUGUUGGUUUAAGUUUUCUCAUACAGGUGUGGAUUUACUUACCGGAGGUUGAGCACAACAGAUGCCCCAAGGCCACUGCAUUCAGAAGUUACUUAAGGAGAUUUUUUAUUUUUCUUAUGUCGUCUUUUACUUUCUAGAUUUGUAAAGUAAUGUCGAGUUUUUUUAUUACCAUUGUAUUUUCUAUUUUGCAUCUGAAAAAGUGUGUUAUAAAUCAAAAAAAAAAAAGAGAUGUUGCAUUUUAUAUUUCC
rnacentral:lncRNA from 1 species